rnacentral:tRNA from 1 species
AAGAUUUUAUCUUAAUAAAAGUAUUUGAUUUGCAUUCAGAAGAUGAAGGUUAGUUUCCUUCAAGUCUUA